UACGUAUGGAGCAAGCGUUACCCGGAUUUACUGGGUGUAAAGGGUGCGUAGGUGGCAGUGCAAGUCAGAUGUGAAAGGCCGGGGCUCAACCCCGGAGCUGCAUUUGAAACUGCAUAGCUGGAGUACAGGAGAGGCAGGCGGAAUUCCUAGUGUAGCGGUGAAAUGCGUAGAUAUUAGGAGGAACACCAGUGGCGAAGGCGGCCUGCUGGACUGUUACUGACACUGAGGCACGAAAGCGUGGGGAGCAAACAGG
rnacentral:rRNA from 1 species